UGAGCACAGGACUGAAUAGAUUUUUAAAUUUCAAAGCAAGGUGAUCCUUGACAGAAGCAAAGAACAGAGCCUCAAACAAAAACCUUAGUGAAAACAGAAAGCAGAGUCACUUACAGAAUUUGAGAGACGGUGUCAAAAUUUCUCAUUCUGAAAUCUGCUUUCAUCAUCACUUCUUUCUAUUGAUACAGUGAAGAUUCCUCUGAAGAAAUCAUUUUUAGAAGAAGAGAAAGACAUGCCAUGGCCUUACAGCAGGUAGAUGUCUUCACAUGGAUUAGUUUCAGCAAGCAGUGAGUGUGAAAGCUGAGAGCGUGAACCUUUGUAUCACAGGUGGGAUCAACUCCGGACUCGCAUGUGAGCCAUGGAACUUUAUCCAAGGGAUAUAACACCUUAAAUAUGUAGUUGCCUUACAUUAAAAAUGGGAAUAAGAGCAUGUACUCCAUAGUAAAAUUGUAGGGAUUCGAUGAGAUAAUGCAUAUAAAGGGACAGAUUCAAGUUAUUUACCAUGACCCUAAAGAAAAGCAGCAGGUUAGUGUGAACUUCAGUGUAAAUAAAAGAAAAGGGAAAAUUACACAGGAAGGAAACUAUAGGGAGGAGAUGAAAUGAUGGGUAUUGAAUUCUGGAGUAUGUCAACCAGGAUUACAUGCCUGGGAAGUGAGGCAUGGAGUUAGGAGAAGAAACCAAGAGAAGUGGGGAAGUGAUAUUUAAGUGGAACAUUGCCUCCUCUGUACAGUUAAUGAACUUGAUUCUGCCAGGGAAUCCUCCUUUCUCUAGGACUCCAGGGUUCAAGAAGAGGGUGGAACAGCUAACCUCAAUGCUGAUCUUCCCUUACAUCCAUUUAUGUUUAGAGCACAAAGGGCAUUAAAGUAUUGGCAAAGACACGUGUGCACUUGCAAUCAGAGGUAGCAAGGUGGCUGGGAGGCCAGGUGCACCAAGUUCUUUGUUUUGUAUACGCUCACCUUGGCCCUAGUUGGCUAUGGGCCUGCCCUUGCUACAUGACAUAUCCCCUGCUCCUUCCUCAGCUAUCAUCUCUGGGUCCAUUGCCUGUCUUUCAGGAGAAACAUCCCUCUGCUUGUCUGAAGGUUUUCUGAAGGUCUGUUGAGAGCAGAGGUGACCAAUGCUAAAACAAUCUGCACAUUCUGCAGUUGAUCCUGUCCCUUUUCCUCAUCUCUCUCCGAGUUAUUUUUCCCUUGAAAGUCAUCUAUA
rnacentral:lncRNA from 1 species